AAAAGUAACUCCGAUAUUUUGUUGUAAAUUUUAAAAUAAUGCGUUACUUUACUAGCUACUUGAAAAAAGUAUUCUGAUUACAAAAUUCACGUUACUUGUAAUGCGUUACACCCAACACUGUUACUGGUUUUCGUUCUGAUGGUCUGCUAUGCUCCGCAAAUGCAAAUGUAAUUUCAUAUGACAGGGAAAGUAAACUUUCUUUCCGGAGUUGUGUGUGUAGGGGGGGCUCCCAGUGGGGGACGGAGCGCUGAAGAAGCCCUGUUCCAAUUCUGUCAUUGUCAAAGUUUGACAUAAUAAGCGAUUGUUCACGCGCCUUUGUUGAGUGAUACAACACAAGAGCAGGGUCCCAAUUCCUCACUGUUAAUUUUUUGUUGUUAAAAGGGAAAAACACAAGAUGUCUAUUCCUUUAAGGGAUGCUUGGCAGUGCUUAUGCUAAGUAAUAUAACAAACCUGUCGUGAUGUCUGUUUGAGCACCUUUUAUCUUUCCAAAUCCACAGGAGGGCUCUACCUUUGCCACGUCGGAGAGAAGCGGCAUCUCUGAAAUAAUUUAAGUAGCCCUUUUUUGAAAGCCCAGACAAGUUAAGAGAAUUCACAUUUAAGAUCAAAGCUGUGCAGUUGCAGUGCCACUAGAAUAAAUCUGCUGGGAUUCUCUCUUUUUUCCUUACACAAGAACAUCUCUAAUUUCAUCAGCUCUCCUGACUGACAAGCAUCAUUACGGAUAAAAUUAUCUUGUUGCAGUACUGAUGGACUGAGGGGAUCUCUAACAUUAAGCAAGGUAAAAAGUUUAAAUCAUUUUAGGGACUCUUGACUUUUUUCAUUCUUUGUAUAUCUUACUGUUUGUUGUUCUUCUUAUCUAAAUUACAGUGCUUCUAGUAUCCAAGGUUUUAUAUGGAAGCCCAUUUCCACCACAACAGAAAAAAAACAUGCUUUGGUCUAUCAUAAAAAUCAAAAUUUUUAGAUACUAAAGGGCCGUACACAACACAGUUUUCAACUAAAAACUGAAAACUUUAAUGUGUUUUGGCUGCAUUUACACGACAACAGCAUUUUGGGGGCCUGAAAAUGCAAACAUUUGAAAACGGGUUUCAAAGUGUGAGUUUUUGAAAACUAAACUGUUAUCAUGUCAGUGUAAACUACAAAAACACAAAUUUGUGAAAACGGUGAUGUCAUGCGCACGCAUAUUACGUGUUCAGUCUUUAGGCGCAUAGUGUUUCUGUACAAAAUUACAUCGCCAACAAGUGGCCUGGCAUGCAUAAUACAUAAUUUUUAGGAUUCGUGUGAACAUGGAUCUUUUGACUACGUUGUUAUCUGUACGAGAAAAAAGCAAAGGAAAAACUUUUCCGGUUUUAGUACAUCGUUGUCGUAAAAAUUUACUCCAAGUCAUAAUUAUGAGAUUACAAAGUCAUAAAUGUCAUAAGUCAUGUUGAAAUUG